UCAUCCCAAGGAGAAUGAAGAGUUAGAUAUAUAUGUUGGAUAUCAUUGAAGACAAGUUAUUCAAUUUGUUGUUACAAGACUUACUCAUAUAGAAGAUGAAAAAAGAUUCGUAGAUCCAUUAACAGAAGAUACAAGAACAGAGGCAAUGAAAGAUCAAACAUAUAAAGAUUUAGUACAUUCAGUUGAAGACAAUUUGACAAACGAUUCCGUACAAGAAUUGCACAGUUCACAUCAAGGUAUGGAAAAGACAGAAAGAAGAACUAUGAAGACGAUUUAUUAGCAUGGAAGGAACUCAGAUAUUGAAAAAACUAUCAAAACAUGUAAAAAAUGUAUAGAAAGGUCGUGUUUACCCAUCCAUUGUAAAAGUUAUUAGCCAGGAUCC
rnacentral:lncRNA from 1 species